UCCCUAGUGCUUCAGUUGGUAAAGAAUCUGCCUGCAAUGCAGGAGACCCAGGUUCAACCCCUGGGUUGGGAA
rnacentral:tRNA from 1 species